UUUCCUUAAUGCGACCCAUGGCACUUGCUAAUUUACCUCACCUGCUCCUUUGAAUUCAGCCAGGAAAUCUGCCCUGCUCUUCUCUCGGCAGCUUUUGCCUUGCUGCAGAGGGCUGUGGCUGCUCAGGAGCAGUUGCUGAGAUGCCAUAAAUUAGAGUCAGAAAGUAAUUGCGGGCAUGUUAUUAUUUUCUUCCCUCUCACAACAAGCAAAUGUAGUUUUCUCUCAUUCUGUACUCCAGAACUUCAGUCAUUUGAGAAGAUCAGCAAACCCUCCUGGUUUACAGCAGAUGAGCUUCUGGUUCUCUGAGGAAAUAUUAUGGGUGGAUGCAACUCCAGCACCAAACUAGGAAACUUCACAUUGCUCCAAUGUUUCACAUUGCUCUUGGCAGACAACACAUGCAUGGAGGUUUGUAGAUCUGAUCUGAACAGCACAGCUGGCGCUACUCCACUGCCUUGAGAGGAGCUACUUUGGUUUACCUGUGGUGAGAUGCUGGCUCUGAGCAUCCAGUGUGGUUCAUGAGAUUAGUCUAAGAUGAAAAUGUAGAUUUUACUGGCUUACAAGAGUAGGAAGGAUGUAUCUCCUAGAGGGUGUGUCUGAUCAGUUACAUUUCAUAGGUGUUGUGUACUGUUUUUGCAAAGACAGAUAAAUGCUUUGCUAGUAACAAACCUGUCUCACCCCAUCUAAUCACCUGGAAUAAAAGCUGUUGAAAAGAAA